AGCGAACGCUAGCGGCGCGCCUAACACAUGCAAGUCGAGCGUGAAAAUCUUCGGAUGAGUAAAGCGGCGCACGGGUGAGUAACACGUGAGUAAUCUACCUUAGAGUCUGGAAUAACCUGCCGAAAGGCGGGCUAAUACCAGAUAGAUCGCGGAGUCCGUAACUGGGCACCACGGGAAAGGGAGGCAGCAAUGCCCCUUGCUCUAAGAUGAGCUUGCGUCCCAUUAGCUAGUUGGUAGGGUAACGGCCUACCAAGGCGAUGAUGGGUAGCUGGUCUGAGAGGACGAUCAGCCACACUGGAACUGAAACACGGUCCAGACUCCUACGGGAGGCAGCAGUGGGGAACUUUUGCGCAAUGGACGAAAGUCUGACGCAGCGACGCCGCGUGAGUGAAGAAGGCCU
rnacentral:rRNA from 1 species